GCGGGAGUAGCUCAGUUGGUAGAGCGCAACCUUGCCAAGGUUGAGGUCGCGAGUUCGAGACUCGACUCCCGCUCCA
rnacentral:tRNA from 1 species